rnacentral:rRNA from 1 species
GUUUGAUCAUGGCUCAGAUUGAACGCUGGCGGAAUGCUUUACACAUGCAAGUCGAGCGGCAGCGCGGGGGCAACCCUGGCGGCGAGCGGCGAACGGGUGAGUAAUGCAUCGGAACGUACCCAGUCGUGGGGGAUAACUGUCCGAAAGGACAGCUAAUACCGCAUACGUCCUGAGGGAGAAAGCGGGGGACCGUAAGGCCUCGCGCGAUUGGAGCGGCCGAUGCCGGAUUAGCUAGUUGGUAGGGUAAAGGCUUACCAAGGCGACGAUCCGUAGCUGGUCUGAGAGGAUGAUCAGCCACACUGGGACUGAGACACGGCCCAGACUCCUACGGGAGGCAGCAGUGGGGAAUUUUGGACAAUGGGGGCAACCCUGAUCCAGCCAUUCCGCGUGAGUGAAGAAGGCCUUCGGGUUGUAAAGCUCUUUCGGCAGGAACGAAACGGUGGGGGCUAAUAUCCUCUACUAAUGACGGUACCUGAAGAAGAAGCACCGGCUAACUACGUGCCAGCAGCCGCGGUAAUACGUAGGGUGUGAGCGUUAAUCGGAAUUACUGGGCGUAAAGCGUGCGCAGGCGGUUUUGUAAGACAGAUGUGAAAUCCCUGGGCUUAACCUGGGAACUGCGUUUGUGACUGCAAGACUCGAGUGUGGCAGAAGGGGGUGGAAUUCCACGUGUAGCAGUGAAAUGCGUAGAGAUGUGGAGGAACACCGAUGGCGAAGGCAGCCCCCUGGGCCAACACUGACGCUCAUGCACGAAAGCGUGGGUAGCAAACAGGAUUAGAUACCCUGGUAGUCCACGCCCUAAACGAUGCCAACUAGGUGUUGGGGAAGGAGACUUCCUUAGUGCCGUAGCUAACGCGUGAAGUUGGCCGCCUGGGGAGUACGG